AUGGGAGAGAUGUUUGGGAAUUCCAAGAAGUGGCAUUGAGUUGCAUACGUCUGGUAAGAGUAAGCAGUUAAGAAUAAUAUCAACAUCAAAAGCCAAAUGUGUCAAUUUUACAUAAAAGGUGGAGGAUGGCUAGACAUGAAGAGGAAAUGGAUCUCAUUUUUGUAGGAAGAGGAAUAAGAGAAGUUACAGAAAUAUUUGGACUUAAUAUAAGGAAAAAACUUCCUAACAAUUUUAACUUUCCAAAAGAUGGAAGGAUGCCUCAAAAGGUAAUGAGUUCUCCAACAGGAAAAAUUUCCAAGGAGAGUCCAUCCUCAUCCUCGCCUGCAAUAUCCACAGCUGAAAAGAUCAAGGCAACUAGGAUGGCAAAGCAACAUACCAAGGCAAAGAUCACAAUGCACUUUUGCUGGGACUGAAAAAGAUUAAAAACAAGGAGAAAGGGAGAAAAAAGAAAGAUGAAUAUUGCAGUUCUCAUUUAGGAAACUCAAGAUAUGACAAUUUUUCAAAACUGGUGGAAAAUAAACCUUUGAAUACAUUACUUUCAUCAUUGGCAGAGCAAGAUUGUUCUCUGGAUGAAAAUGUACAAGACCUCUAAGCCUAUUCUUCAACACAGUCUCUGAGUUCAUGCUAUAUGUCAGACACUUAAAUAAUUCACAUUAUAGUGCUGAGACUUUUGAAUUCUUUCUUUAUUUCCCUCUGAUCAAAAGUGACUCAGAAUAGAUCACUAAAAAAUCCAUUACUUCUAAUAAAAAAUAGAACACAGGGUA